GGGGUGAGGACAGUGUCUGGUGGGUAGUUUGACUGGGGCGGUCUCCUCCCAAAGAGUAACGGAGGAGCACGAAGGUUAGCUAAUCACGGUCGGACAUCGUGAGGUUAGUGCAAAGGCAUAAGCUAGCUUGACUGCGAGAGUGACGGCUCGAGCAGGUACGAAAGUAGGUCUUAGUGAUCCGGUGGUUCUGAAUGGAAGGGCCAUCGCUCAACGGAUAAAAGGUACUCCGGGGAUAACAGGCUGAUACCGCCCAAGAGUUCAUAUCGACGGCGGUGUUUGGCACCUCGAUGUCGGCUCAUCACAUCCUGGGGCUGAAGUAGGUCCCAAGGGUAUGGCUGUUCGCCAUUUAAAGUGGUACGCGAGCUGGGUUUAGAACGUCGUGAGACAGUUCGGUCCCUAUCUGCCGUGGGCGUUGGAAGAUUGAGAGGGGUUGCUCCUAGUACGAGAGGACCGGAGUGAACGCACCACUGGUGUUCGGGUUGUCAUGCCAAUGGCAUUGCCCGGUAGCUAAGUGCGGAAAAGAUAAGCGCUGAAAGCAUCUAAGCGCGAAACUUGCCUCAAGAUGAGUCUUCCCUGGGCCUUUAAGGCCCCUGAAGGAACGUUUAAGACUAAGACGUUGAUAGGCUGGGUGUGUAAGUGCAGCGAUGCAUUGAGCUAACCAGUACUAAUGAUCCGUGAGGCUUAACCUU
rnacentral:rRNA from 2 species